GAUCACUAAAACUGAUGAAGUACUUGAAACUGAAAAUCUUAAAACACCUGACCUAGCUCUCCUAGAUUGUAGCGACCCGACCCAAAUGGAUCGAAGUCUCUGUGCUUACGUGUCAUCCCUGAAUCGGUAUGCUAACACACACAGUACUCGAGGAAUUAUAACAGAGUUCAAUCACACACUUUAUUACAUCGAGAUCCUCAAAAGAGUAUAAUAUGGCCAAAGGCCAUCUAAAAUAAAAUAACUGCGGAAGCAUCGAAGGUAAAUGAGUCCAUCCAACUCCACGGCAAACUAAGUGCAGAACAACGAC
rnacentral:lncRNA from 1 species